UGUACGGCAGCCUACCAUGCAGUCGAGCGCGCCUUCGGGUGAGCGGCGGACGGGUUAGUAACGCGUGGGAACGUGCCCUUCUCUACGGAAUAGCCUCUGGAAACGGAGAGUAAUACCGUAUACGCCCUUUGGGGGAAAGAUUUAUCGGAGAAGGAUCGGCCCGCGUUAGAUUAGGUAGUUGGUGGGGUAACGGCCUACCAAGCCUACGAUCUAUAGCUGGUUUUAGAGGAUGAUCAGCAACACUGGGAUUGAGACACGGCCCAGACUCCUACGGGAGGCAGCAGUGGGGAAUCUUAGACAAUGGGGGCAACCCUGAUCUAGCCAUGCCGCGUGAGUGAUGAAGGCCUUAGGGUCGUAAAGCUCUUUCGCCUGUGAUGAUAAUGACAGUAGCAGGUAAAGAAACCCCGGCUAACUCCGUGCCAGCAGCCGCGGUAAUACGGAGGGGGUUAGCGUCGUUCGGAAUUACUGGGCGUAAAGCGCGCGUAGGCGGAUUAGAAAGUUGGGGGUGAAAUCCCGGGGCUCAACCCCGGAACUGCCUCCAAAACUGCUAGUCUAGAGUUCGAGAGAGGUGAGUGGAAUUCCGAGUGUAGAGGUGAAAUUCGUAGAUAUUCGGAGGAACACCAGUGGCGAAGGCGGCUCACUGGCUCGAUACUGACGCUGAGGUGCGAAAGUGUGGGGAGCAAACAGGAUUAGAUACCCUGGGUAGUCCACACCGUAAACGAUGAAUGCCAGUCGUCGGAUAGUAUACU
rnacentral:rRNA from 1 species